GAUGAACGCUGGCGGCGUGCCUAAUACAUGCAAGUCGAGCGAACAGACGAGGAGCUUGCUCCUCUGACGUUAGCGGCGGACGGGAGAGUAACACGUGGAUAACCUACCUAUAAGACUGGGAUAACUUCGGGAAACCGGUGCUAAUACCGGCUAAUAUCUUGUACCGCAUGGAUCAAUAGUGAAAUACGGCUUUGCUGUCGCCUAAAGACGGAUCCGCGCCGCAUUAGCUAGUUGGUCAGGUAACGGCUUACCAAGGCGACGAUCAGUAGCCGACCUGAGAGGGUGAUCGGCCACACUGGAACUGAGACACGGUCCAGACUCCUACGGGAGGCAGCAGUGGGGAAUCUUCGGCAAUGGGCGAAAGCCUGACGGAGCAACGCCGCGUGAGUGAUGAAGGUCUUCGGAUCGUAAAACUCUGUUAUUAGGGAAGAACAAAUGUGUAAGUAACUAUGCACGUCUUGACGGUACCUAAACAGAAAGCCACGGCUAACUACGUG
rnacentral:rRNA from 1 species